rnacentral:RNase_P_RNA from 17 species
GAAGUUGCGCAGACGAUCGCUGAAGCGGUCAAGGCAUUGGCCUGCCGCUUUGGAGGAAAGUCCGAACACCACAGGGCAGGGUGCUUCAUAACGUGAAGUCAUGGCGACAUGAAGGAAAGUGCCACAGAAAAGAUACCGCCAAAGGAGCGCUGCUCUUUUGGUAAGGGUGAAAAGGUGCGGUAAGAGCGCACCAGUUCCCCGGGUGACCGGGGAAGCUAGGUAAACCCCACCCGGUGCAAGACCAAAUAGGGGGACGUUUGAGGGCGGCCCGUCCAAGUCCCCGGGUAGGUCGCAUGAGGCGUCGGGCAACCGGCGUCCCGAGAGGAAUGAUCGUCGGCCGGCAAGGGGUAACCCGCGCCGGACACAGAAUUCGGCUUACGCGCAGCUUCAACC